UACGUAGGGUGCAAGCGUUGUCCGGAAUUAUUGGGCGUAAAGAGCUUGUAGGCGGUUUUGUCGCGUCUGCUGUGAAAUUUCGGGGCUCAACCCCGAACUUGCAGUGGGUACGGGCAGACUAGAGUGUGGUAGGGGAGACUGGAAUUCCUGGUGUAGCGGUGAAAUGCGCAGAUAUCAGGAGGAACACCGAUGGCGAAGGCAGGUCACUGGGCCGCAACUGACGCUGAGGAGCGAAAGCAUGGGGAGCGAACAGG
rnacentral:rRNA from 1 species